UUAAACAUUCACAUUUAAAUAACAACAAUUAGUCGAGUCUUUUUGCGAGAGAGUGUGUGUGCUGCUCUCACUGACACUCUCAGCACUCUCUGCUCGUGCCUCAGCCGCUGUUGGCAGCACUGGGUCAGUCGUCGAUUGGCGCGUCCAUUGCUUUGGUGUGUUUUCACUUUUAAGCCUAGUUUAACAACAUGUUGUUGGCGCUGGCUGCUGGCUGCUGGCAACUCCCUGCGUACAUUGUAUGUGAGCGAAAACUGAAAGAGAGAGAGAUAGUGAGCUUUCGACGUGAAGAUCAACCAACGCAUUUGGUGCAAUGUGAAAUGAGAGAGAGAGAGUAAGCUUUCGACUUCAAGAUCAACCAACGCAUUUGGUGCAAUGUGAAAUGUUGUUGUCAUCAUUGUUGGCGAGUCAUAACGAAACACCGGCCGGCGUCGACAUUGAAAUAAGAGCGAAGUAGAGUGGGAGAGCGACCGAGCGCGUGUGAAGAGAAAGCGUCGGCCUUGCGUGUCAGUGCUGCCAUUUUUAAUUACAGUGCUGGCACUCACACAUAUACAUUGAUUUUGUUUCUAUCUAUUUAAUUAGAAAAUAAGUGAGGUUAAUCAUAACAAAAUUCGUUUUUCUUUCAUUGAUAUCCGGCAUAAACAUUCGAUGUUACACGUGAUAUGCGAGAAAAGCAUAGAAUAUGCAAAUACCACUAUGCACGUAUGUAUAAAUUGAUGUGCUUAUGUAUGUAUGUAUGUCGCGCAUGCAAUUGUACACUACCGUGGCAUAUUUUUGGCUUUGCACAAUGCCAUCGACUUUUUAAACGCAGCAAAAAUAAACAAAAAUAAAUAAAAACCAAAUAUAUGCACAUACAUACAAUGUUUAGAUUGCCAAAGGCGAUGCGUAGUAUUUUAACCACACACAUAUAUUUAUGUACAUACAUAGAUACAUGUAUGUAUAUUUAUUUUUAUACGAGACACAUUUAUUGUGUUCAAAUUGUACAUAAAACUAUUUAAAUAUAGUAAGGAAAUAUGUUUUUUGUUUAAACAAAAAUGAAAAGAAUCCAAAAUAAAUGACCUACAAUUGCAAUUGGAAUUUUAUCCGAAAUCUUUACUCCAUAUAUAAAAAACACGGCAUAAUAUUAUAGUUGGUAUAAGACAUACAUAGGUAAUAUGUACAAGACAUUAAUGUGUCUUUUUCUCUCACUCUUCAGUUAUCAUUCAUUUAAUACAUGUAAACGAAGAAAUAUUAGGCUUAAAUAACUGUAUGUAUUAGUCGCUCUUAUUGCUUUGCUCUCACAGACAAGACAUGGAUGCUCUUUUUUGCCUGCAGGCUGGUGCUUGCACCAGUGUUGUUAAUAUAGCCUAUUUCAGGCUAGAUCUUGUCUGUGUGAAAGUGGUCUCCCUGACUGUCUCCUUCUCUAUCUUAUAAUCUGUCUCCGUCAGUCUGUAUACUAUAAGCAGGCUACAAAGAAGAACUACAGAAGAUCAUUCAAGUUGUCUAUAUGUAUGCAGUAGUAGUUUUGUGCCUGUAUUUAAGUAAAACGAAGCAAGAAUGCUUGCAGCGGCAGAGACUCUUCCCAUUGGUCAAUUCAAGUUCGACUGCAACGACCUCUACCUGGCACCGGGCUCAACAUUUGAGUGGGACUUGGGCUUUGAGUGAAAGUCGUCCUAUAUAAAGGGCAGUACCUGCAGCAUUUCUUCAGUCGCCCAGGCCUGGUGGGGGCUGUGCAGUCGAGUGAAAUGAAGUGUGUGAUCGUUCUGCUAUGCAUUACGUAGAGGAAAUACGUAAAGGAUAUACUUAGAGAAAAUAUGUGGAAGAAAUAUUUGGAUGAAUUACGUGAAGGAAAGACUUAGAGGAAAUAUUCCAGCAGCUGGCAGUACUGGCUCGCGGGCAAAACAUAUAACUGGAUCUCACUUGCGACUCACAGGACGAACACGCACUGACUAAAUUAAGCAAAUAAGCUUGCGCUUGCGCUCAGCGUGCCCUCUAUCACUAGGCAUGCACGGUUAACGGUAUCGAAAGCGUAAGCAAGAAUAGCAUGCAACACAGAGAGCAGAAAAUGAAACAUCGCGCAUAGAUGGCGCCAGCAACUCAUUGGCUGCUAUAAAAUAAAAUAUGUAGUACAUAAUCAGUAUAUAUUUAUAUAUUUAUAACAAAUAGAACACGUAAGUCUAUGAUAGUGAAAUAUGUUUAUAAAAUUAAAGGCAAUAAAGAUAAUUCAAAACAAAUGUA